rnacentral:rRNA from 1 species
AUUGAACGCUGGCGGCAGGCCUAACACAUGCAAGUCGAACGAGUGGCGGACGGGUGAGUAAUGUCUGGGAAACUGCCUGAUGGAGGGGGCUAACUACUGGAAACGGUAGCUAAUACCGCAUAACAUCGGAUCUGCCCAGAUGGGAUUAGCUAGUGGGUGGGGUAAAGGCUCACCUAGGCGACAAUCCCUAGCUGGUCUGAGAGGAUGACCAGCCACACUGGAACUGAGACACGGUCCAGACUCCUACGGGAGGCAGCAGUGGGGAAUAUUUGACAAUGGGCGCAAGCCUGAUGCAGCCAUGCCGCGUGUGUGAAGAAGGCCUUCGGGUUGUAAAGUACUUUCAGCGGGGAGGCGUUACCCGCAGAAGAAGCACCGGCUAACUCCGUGCCAGCCGCCGCGGUAAUAC